GCCUGGGUGGCUCGGUUGAGCGUCUGAUUUUGGCUCAGGUCAUGAUCUCGUGGUUCGUGGGUUCGAGUCCCGUGUCGGGCU
rnacentral:tRNA from 1 species